GGGGCAUUGUUUUGAAGGUGGGCCUGUGCAAUGAACUUUUAACGGCCGCGGUACCCUAACCGCGCGAAGGUAGCAUAAUCACUUGUUCUUUAAAUGGGGACUUGUAUCAACGGCAUCACGAGGGUUUUACUGUCUCCUCUUUUUAAUCAGUGAAAUUGAUCUUCCCGUGAAGAAGCGGGAAUACCCCUAUAAGACGAGAAGACCCCAUGGAGCUUUAAACCAAAUAGCAACUUAACUAUAUAUCCCCCCAUAGUUCCAUAAAGCCAUGCUACAAGGUUUUUGGUUGGGGUGACCGCGGAGUAAAAUGUAACCUCCACGACGGAAAGGCCACAAUCUUUAUUUAAGAACCACAAUUCUAAAAACUAGCACACUAACGUACACUGACCCGACAAUCGAUCAACGGACCAAGUUACCCUGGGGAUAACAGCGCAAUCUACUUCGAGAGCCCAUAUCGACAAGUAGGCUUACGACCUCGAUGUUGGAUCAGGGUAUCCCAGUGGUGCAGCCGCUACUGAAGGUUCGUUUGUUCAACGAUUAAAACCCUACGUGAUCUGAGUUCAGACCGGA
rnacentral:rRNA from 1 species